AACGCGAAGAACCUUAACCAGCCCCUGGACAUCCUGCGAACUUUCUAGAGAUAGAUUGGGCCUUCGGGAACGCAGUGACAGGUGCAUGCAUGGCGUCGUCAGCUCGUGUCGUGAGAUGUUGGGUUAAGUCCCGUAACGAGCGCAACCCUUGUCCUUAGUUGCCAGCAUUUCGGAUGGGAACUCUAGGGAGACUGCCGGUGAUAAACCGGAGGAAGGUGGGGAUGACGUCAAGUCAUCAUGGCCCUUAUGGGCAGGGCUACACACGUGCUACAAUGGCCGGUACAGAGGGCGGCGAGGCGGCGACGUGGAGCCAAUCCCAGAAAACCGGUCGUAGAUUGCAGUCUGCAACUCGCUGCAUGAAGUCGGAAUCGCUAGUAAUUCGCNAAUCAGCAUGUCGCCGUGAAU
rnacentral:rRNA from 1 species